rnacentral:snRNA from 1 species
AAUGAAGGAAGACGCAGG